rnacentral:rRNA from 1 species
UCGAGAAUUUUUCUCAAUGGGGGAAACCCUGAAGGAGCGACGCCGCGUGGAGGAUGAAGGUCUUCGGGUUGUAAACUCCUGUCAUUUGGGAACAAGUCGUACGUAGUAACUAUACGUGCGUUGAUAGUACCAGAAGAGGAAGAGACGGCUAACUCUGUGCCAGCAGCCGCGGUAAUACAGAGGUCUCAAGCGUUGUUCGGAUUCAUUGGGCGUAAAGGGUGUGUAGGUGGCGCCGUAAGUCGGGUGUGAAAUUUCGGAGCUUAACUCCGAAACUGCAUUCGAUACUGCGGUGCUUGAGGACUGGAGAGGAGACUGGAAUUCAUGGUGUAGCAGUGAAAUGCGUAGAGAUCAUGAGGAAGACCAGUGGCGAAGGCGGGUCUCUGGACAGUUCCUGACACUGAGACACGAAGGCCAGGGGAGCAAACG